rnacentral:lncRNA from 1 species
UGGAGAGUGAUCUCGCCUUCUCUUAGCCCCUAACUUCUUCAAGACCCUGCAUUGAAGUGCACAAAUGAGUACUGAAAUCAGAAUCAAGAAUCCAACUAGAAGAAGAUCAAAUCAUUAGAUUAGUUUCAAUAAUGAGUAUUUCAGAUGUACCUUUAGAAGGCCCAUCCUUCUUCCUGCUCUUGACAGUCACCAGGUAGGCCGGACAGU